ACAUCCACACAUCCACAAACAGACAUCCACACAUCCACAAACAGACAUCCACACAUCCACAUCCACACAUCCACAUACAGACAUCCACAUACAGACAUCCACAUACAGACAUCCACAUACAGACAUCCACAAACAGACACCCACAAACAGACACCCACAAACAGACACCCACAAACAGACACCCACAAACAGACAUCCACAAACAGACAUCCACACAUACACAGACAUCCACAGACAUCCACACAUCCACAGACAUCCACACAUCCACAGACAUCCACAAAUAGACAUCCACACACAUCCACAAACAGACAUCCACACACAUCCACAGACAGACAUCCACAAAUCUACACAGACAUCCACACA